rnacentral:rRNA from 1 species
AUUGAACGCUGGCGGCAGGCCUAACACAUGCAAGUCGAGCGGCAGCGGGAAAGUAGCUUGCCACUUUUGCCGGCGAGCGGCGGACGGGUGAGUAAUGCCUGGGGAUCUGCCCAGUCGAGGGGGAUAACUACUGGAAACGGUAGCUAAUACCGCAUACGCCCUACGGGGGAAAGCAGGGGACCUUCGGGCCUUGCGCGAUUGGAUGAACCCGGGUGGGAUUAGCUAGUUGGUGCGGUAAUGGCUCACCAAGGCGACGAUCCCUAGCUGGUCUGAGAGGAUGAUCAGCCACACUGGAACGGAGACACGGGCCAGACUCCUACGGGAGGCAGCAGUGGGGAAUAUUGGACAAUGGGGGAAACCCUGAUGCAGCCAUGCCGCGUGUGGGAAGAAGGCCUUCGGGUUGUAAAGCACUUUCAGCGAGGGGGAAAGGUUGGUAGCUAAUAACUGCCAGCUGUGACGUUACUCGCAGAAGAGGCACCGGCUAACUCCGUGCCAGCCGCCGCAGUAAUAC